rnacentral:lncRNA from 1 species
GCCUGCAAGCCAUCCAAUAAUCGGAUUCUCAUCAUCAAUGGCAUAAUCAUCUAUCGUCAGAUCCGUAUACUUCAGCUGUACUUCAUUUUGGAUACAUUUUAACCUUAAUCUCAAAUUAUAAUGCACAUAAACAAGAUCAUUGAGGUGCUUUUGUGUCAGAUGGUUUUUCUGUUUGCUGUGAAUAAGAGCAAAAAUUGAACCAAUUGCGCUCACACC